AUACGGAGGGUGCGAGCGUUAAUCGGAAUUACUGGGCGUAAAGCGUACGUAGGCGGUUUGCUAAGUCAGAUGUGAAAGCCCCGGGCUUAACCUGGGAACUGCAUUUGAUACUGGCAGACUAUAGUAUGAUAGAGGGGGGUAGAAUUCCUGGUGUAGCGGUGAAAUGCGUAGAUAUCAGGAGGAAUACCAGUGGCGAAGGCGGCCCCCUGGAUCAAUACUGACGCUGAGGUACGAAAGCGUGGGGAGCGAACAGGAUUAGAAACCCUAGUAGUCC
rnacentral:rRNA from 1 species